rnacentral:rRNA from 1 species
GUGAAUCAUCGAGUCUUUGAACGCACAUUGCGCCCCUCGGUAUUCCGGCGGGCAUGUCUGUUUGAGCGUCAUUACGAACCCCUUCGGCCGCGCAUUUCGGUGCCCGGCCGGUUAUGGGCCCGCCGAACGGUCCCUCUCCGAGACCCGGCCGGCCUUAAACACGAUGCUACGCGAGCGGUCUGACCGGAAGAACAUAGUAGAUUCGUUUCCGCUGUUCCCCUAGGUCGCGGCCGGCUUCGCCCUGAACAAAACCGAUCACAAGGUUUGACCUCAGAUCAGACAAGGAUACCCGCUGAACUUAA